rfam:Pan troglodytes isolate Yerkes chimp pedigree #C0471 (Clint) chromosome 19, whole genome shotgun sequence.
GCUGGGUGUGGUUGUGUGCACCUGUCAUCCUAGCUACUGGGAAGACUGAGGCAGGAGGAUUGCUUGAGCCCAGGUGUUGGAGGCUGCAGUGAUCUGUGAUCGCACCACUGCACUCCAGCCUGGGCAACAGAGCAAAACCCUGUCUCUA